AUUGAACGCUGGCGGAAUGCUUUACACAUGCAAGUCGAACGGUAGAGGGGGCAACCCCUCGAGAGUGGCGAACGGGUGAGUAAUAUAUCGGAACGUGCCCAGUCAUGGGGGAUAACGUAGCGAAAGUUACGCUAAUACCGCAUACGAUCUAAGGAUGAAAGCGGGGGAUCGAAAGAACUCGCGCGAUUGGAGCGCCCGAUAUCAGAUUAGGUAGUUGGGGGGGUAAAGGCUCACCAGGCCAACGAUCUGUAGCUGGUCUGUGAGGACGACCAGCCACACUGGAACUGAGACACGGUCCAGACUCCUACGGGAGGCAGCAGUGGGGAAUUUUGGACAAUGGACGCAAGUCUGAUCCAGCCAUUCCGCGUGCAGGAUGAAGGCCCUCGGGUUGUAAACUGCUUUUGUACGGAACGAAAAGGUCUCUCUUAGUACGGGGGGCUCAUGACGGUACCGUAAGAAUAAGCACCGGCUAACUACGUGCCAGCCGCCGCGGUAA
rnacentral:rRNA from 1 species